rnacentral:rRNA from 1 species
UACGGGGGGGGGCAAGCGUUGUUCGGAAUUACUGGGCGUAAAGCGCACGUAGGUGGCGACGUAAGUCGGGUGUGAAAGCCCCGGGCUCAACCUGGGAAUUGCGUUUGAUACUGCGGCGCUGGAAUGCAGGAGAGGAUGGCGGAAUUCCCAGUGUAGAGGUGAAAUUCGUAGAUAUUCGCAAGAACACCAGUGGCGAAGGCGGCUCACUGGCUCGAUACUGACGCUGAGGUGCGAAAAGCGUGGGGGAGCAAAACAGG